AACUUUGUGCAGUGGCAGUAUCGUAGCCAAUGAGGUUUAUCCGAGGCGCGAUUAUUGCUAAUAGAAAAUGAUUUUUGUGAAAAGAAAAAUUGCACCAAGUUUACCAUUUUUAGUGGUCUGAUAUUUGCCAUAGA